GCCGCUCCAUCUCCGUCCGUGCCAUCCGCCGCCGCCGCCAUGCCCCUCCUCCUCCCCUUGGUUUCUCUCCUCUUCGAGCUGCCUCUCCUCCACCCGCACCAUCGACCAUCUCCCUACCUCUUUCUCCUGUCCGCGAGACAGUGCCUUCCCACGUUCUCGAUCCGGCAUUGCCGUGCACGGUGGUUUCAGAUCGUGCGCAGGUCGCAGGCAUGGAAGUAAGGGGCGUGGUGGUUUCUGUGAUGUGUAUGGAGGAGCGGGGGAAGGUGAGGAUGACGGACAGGUGGGAAGGCGCAGCAAGACUGGAGCUGCAGCGCUCGCAUCAUGAUGGCGUGGAGCCGUCCAUCACUACCCAUCGACCCUAGUUUAGAUAUGUACAGAUCAGACGAAGAAGAGAAGAGGCAACCCGUUCGCUAUGGUGAGUUGCAAGGUAGCGGGAGGAUGCCGGUUAUAGCAAAAGGAGCAGGCUGGUGAGGAGGGAAAGCAGCACCGGAAGGAUCUACGAGGUUGCUGUUGGUUCUUGGGUUCUCAGUACCCACCUAGAUCAUUGCACUUCUCCUAGAGGACAGUCUAUUAUCAUAAGGGAAACUUGUGUGAUUGGCAAUUAGCAUCAACACUUUGAAGAGCUCGGAGUAGUAGUUUGAAUGCAAGCAAACUGCAACAUGAUUAUCUCUUUAACCCUGUUAAGGUAAAGUAUUCUUCUUUGUAUUUUGGUCAUUCAAUAUUGAAUCACAAUUCACAAGUGGUCUAUGUCUUUCAACGCGGUGCCUCAUGUCCGAUCACUAAACAAUAUUGUAACAGUUCAGAGGUACUUUGAAUGCUUAUAUUUUUUGCUUCCAUUUUUUCCCAGUCCAAUGUCCUCGUAAUGAUUUAGUGCCUCAUGUUUGGCAUUUCUAAUGGGUAGAGUUUAUCAAAUGGUUCAUUUGUCCACACGAUCUUGACAUAGUCAGGAAGCAUCAUAUUUGUACUUUGUGUGUGUUCCUCAGUUAACCCUUUUGAUCUUUACGAUGCAUCAAUAUUUAAUAAGUGCACAUGCACACAAGAACAUGAGACUAGCCACAAUGGAGAGUAACAUACACUAGUAACAUACACAUAUCCCUAGACUAUGUUACUACCUUAAUAGUAGGUAGUAACAUAAGUGUCGUAACAUGUUAAGCUUUAUUUAUUAGGCUAUAGACUCAUAUUGCAUUGGGACAUGUGAUGUUACAGUAACUAGCUAAGUUACUAGUACUACAUCUCUCCUCAUUAACUCAUUGCCACAUAAGAAAAUUUGCUAAGUUGGACUCAAUGUUACUACCGAAAUUACUCCCACUGUGGCUAGUCUGAUAGCACGAUGAUUGCACUAUUCCAGUGCCUUGAUUGUAUGGCAUAGACAUGCUAUUAUGCGUAACUACUGCUUGUUGCGCUCAAAUCCUUUUCAUUUCAGGUCCUCCUGUUGUAGUCAUGUGAACUUACAAAGUUCAAUAGCUAUACACUGGGUAUUCUGAAGAAACUUUGCUAUCCCUGGAUUAUAAAUGUCAAAUACAGUUGACAUCCAUCGUUGUUUCUCGAUUUUUCACCUUUAAAUGUAUUAAGGUUUUUUCUUUUGUCCACAAGUGAAGCUUACUUGAUGUACCUAUAUCUAAUAGCAAAGUAUUUCGAAUGCCUUCUUCAUUUCUGUCUUGAUUAACAUGUCCAAUUUCUUUUUCUUGCUAGAGAUGUAUAUAACGGUGUUAUGCAUUUUAUUUCCUGCUAUGUAAAAAACAUUUUGUGUCCAACAUCUUAGUUCAUCGAAUGGUUUGCUAGCUAUAUCACUGGCUUUCAUGCUUUAAGACGAUGAAUUUAACCUGCUGGUCAUUCAUAUCUCCAUCCCUCUGCAAUGAAAAAAAUGUGAAUUGCUCUUGCCUAAUUUUGGAAAACCAAAUCUGCAUCAUGUUGAUAUGCUUCACGGCGAUCAUGCUUUUCACACCCAUAUAAUGAUGCCGUGCUUUUCCUUUUGAUAGUACUUUUUGUGUGUUCCUUUAUCUUGGGCAGUAUGUAAGUUACUUUGUCAAUCAUGUAUAGUAUGGAAGUUAUGUAAAGGAAUAUUUACUGAAAUAUUAUGUAAAACCUAUGGUUCAAAGCAAAUCUUUGGUAAAUUAGAAUAUUGACUUAACUAUUUGGCAGUGUUAUUAUUGAUGGUCUGGAAUUUCAAACUCAUCCGUUUAAUUAUUUGAGAGCAUCAUCAAUAUUUUUUCCAGCAACAUAAUUACAAAAAUAAACAUGGCCACAAAAUUUAGCUUCUUAGGCAAAUAAAGUUCAAUGUACCAUUUGCAUCAUCUAAAUGAUUUCAUUCGAAUUUGAAUGCCACCUGUAUCAUCAAAAAUCAGGCACAAACAUAGUUACCUUCAUGUCCACUUCCAUAAUCUGAUUGUGUUAAUGCUGCUCCAUGAAAGACAAAAACAAUUCUUCUUACUAAUGAACAACAUCACUUGCAACAAAAUUAGAUCCCAGCUAUUAUGAACAUUUUAUUAUCUACUCACAUGAUGCAUAUAUGUCUACUCAUGCUAUCUUCUUCUUUGUCGUCAGCCUACAGUGAUGGAAAGAAUCAGAAUCCCAACAAAAAUACUGUUCAAUGCUAGAUGCAGCAGCUAGGCCUCCCAGAUGAAGUGUACUCAACACAGAAGGCAAGAGCAAUUGGUCUUGGCGCAACUAUUCACUUCUAUCCCUCCAAGCAUCAACUGGACAACAAUCUUCCAAGACAAUCAAUAUCAAUCCAUGUAUCCAACAAACUAGAAGAUGUUGAAGAUCAACUAGCAAACGAAGCUCUCAAGUACAUGAAAAGCAUCCACCGUAAAGUGCCGUAAAGUGCUGCAGGACAUAAACUACGACAAGAUGCAGCUGCUCCAGCAGAAGUGUGAAGCUCUUGAGCAUCAGCAGAAAGAAAAGGACAACCUAAUAGACUAUUUUAGCAACAGUUGGUGCUAUAGCCUCGGUGGAGAUCACAUGGCAGCAAAGGAACUUUACCGUAUAAUAGAUAGCAACUUCACAGCCGGAUCAAUAUCCAAAGACAAUGAUUGGAAUCAUAUUUUGUCGCAAGUAAGAUAUGUUGCUGAUCAUACAGCCACACAAUCAGAGUAUGAACUCCAACAGACAAACAAGUACUACUGGAGCUUGGAUGAUGAUGUUGAAGGAAUUUCUGCUAUGAACAAUGAAAACAUCCAACCACAACCACUAUGAACAAUUGCCUGAACAAGUUUUCAGCGCCGAUGAUCCACCAAUCACACUGACUAAUGUUCAUGACUUCAUAAUGGCUAUAAGAUGUCUCUCUCCCUAUCUACCUUCCUUCCUAAUAGCAUUGUAAAUAUUUUAUCGUAAGCUUCUUAGAUCACUAUGUAUCACGAAUAAUCCAUGUGUUCUAAUCUGCCCCUAAAUAUAUUUAUGUUCA